UGGGGAAUAUUGGACAAUGGGCGAAAGUCUGAUGGAGCGACGUCGCGUGAUGGACGAAGUGCUUCGGCACGUAAACAUCUUUUAUGUGGGAUGAAAUUAUUGACAGUACCACAUGAAUAAGGGGCUCCUAACUCUGUGCCAGCAGGAGCGGUAAUACAGAGGCCCCAAGCGUUAUCCGGAAUCACUGGGCGUAAAGGGUGUCGAGGCGGUUGUAUUAGUCGUUCGUAAAAUCUACGAGCUUAACUUGUAGGCGGCGAACGAAACGGUACGACUUGAGGUUUGGAGAGGUGCGUGGAACUCACGGUGUAGGGGUGAAAUCCGUUGAUAUCGUGGGGAACACCAAAGGCGAAGGCAGCGCACUGGCCAAAAUCUGACGCUCACACACGAAAGCUAGGGUAGCGAAGAGGAUUAGAUACCCAUGUAGUCCCUGAGCGGGCUGGCAAGGCGCAU
rnacentral:rRNA from 1 species